GUAGGGAAUAUUGGGCAAUGGAGGCAACUCUGACCCAGCCAUGCCGCGUGCAGGAAGACGGCCCUCUGGGUUGUAAACUGCUUUUAUCCGGGAAUAAACCUGCCUUCGUGAAGGUAGCUGAAUGUACCGGAAGAAUAAGGAUCGGCUAACUCCGUGCCAGCAACCGCGGUAAUACGGAGGAUCCAAGCGUUAUCCGGAUUUAUUGGGUUUAAAGGGUGCGUAGGCGGCCUGUUAAGUCAGGGGUGAAAGACGGUGGCUCAACCAUCGCAGUGCCCUUGAUACUGAUGGGCUUGAAUGGACUAGAGGUAGGCGGAAUGUGACAAGUAGCGGUGAAAUGCAUAGAUAUGUCACAGAACACCGAUUGCGAAGGCAGCUUACUAUGGUCCUAUUGACGCUGAGGCACGAAAGCGUGGGGAUCGAACAGGAUUAGAUACCCGGGUAGUCC
rnacentral:rRNA from 1 species